GACGAACGCUGGCGGCGUGCUUAACACAUGCAAGUCGAACGGAAAGGCCCUGCUUUUGUGGGGUGCUCGAGUGGCGAACGGGUGAGUAACACGUGAGUAACCUGCCCUUGACUUUGGGAUAACUUCAGGAAACUGGGGCUAAUACCGGAUAGGAGCUCCUGCUGCAUGGUGGGGGUUGGAAAGUUUCGGCGGUUGGGGAUGGACUCGCGGCUUAUCAGCUUGUUGGUGGGGUAGUGGCUUACCAAGGCUUUGACGGGUAGCCGGCCUGAGAGGGUGACCGGCCACAUUGGGACUGAGAUACGGCCCAGACUCCUACGGGAGGCAGCAGUGGGGAAUAUUGCACAAUGGGCGGAAGCCUGAGGCAGCAACGCCGCGUGUGGGAUGACGGCCUUCGGGUUGUAAACCGCUUUCGCCUGUGACGAAGCGUGAGUGACGGUAAUGGGUAAAGAAGCACCGGCUAACUACGUG
rnacentral:rRNA from 1 species